rnacentral:lncRNA from 1 species
UUUGCAGUACUUGUUAGGGAGCUCAAGGACCGUAGUAGCAUAUAUUAAAGCUACACUAAUCUUCAUCGCUAAGAUCACACAUUGUCUACAUCCUCAACAUUAGGAUAUUCCAAGUAACACUUCUCCUCGUCUUCCUCGUCACGGGUUCCAUCUUCAUCUUGUAAACUCCAAGUAACCAUCUUCCAAAACGCAGCACUCCACUUCUCUUCCCUCUUCA